GGAGAAGAAGAAGGGCUGGGAAGGGCGGAGAAGGCGAAGGUGGCUGGUUCGUUAAUUACUGAUUUUCCUCGGUCCGCGUCACUUUUUA